UACGUAGGGUGCAAGCGUUGUCCGGAAUUAUUGGGCGUAAAGAGCUCGUAGGCGGUUUGUUGCGUCGGCUGUGAAAUCCCGAGGCUCAACCUCGGGUCUGCAGUCGAUACGAGCAAACUAGAGUGUUGCAGGGGAGACUGGAAUUCCUGGUGUAGCGGUGAAAUGCGCAGAUAUCAGGAGGAACACCGGUGGCGAAGGCGGGUCUCUGGGCAACAACUGACGCUGAGGUGCGAAAGCGUGGGGAGCGAUCCGG
rnacentral:rRNA from 1 species